CGCGGGCGGCGGGCGGCGGCCGAGCAGGCGGUGGCGUCCGGCGAGGGGCCAGACGGGAGGCGUGCCAGGCGGUGCCCCGGUGGUCCAGUGCAUGCCCGGAGCAGGUGGCGACCUCCGGUGAGCUGCAAGCUGGCGAGCGCCGAGCGGCAAGGUGCCGUGGCGGCGUCCAGUGAGCCGGCGAUGGGCCAGACAGAAGGCAGGCCAGGCGGAGGCGGUGGUCCAGCACUCCAGCGCCUGCGCCGCCACGCCGCCGGGAAGGUGGCGAGCCGCUCGCUGGCGAGGUGCCGCGAGGGCGCAAGGCGCCGAGGCAGGCAGGCAGCAGGUCAGCGGCACAGUGGCCGGCAAGGCAGCAACGAGUCAACGACGCAGUCGCAGCCUACUGUGACUGUGAUUGAAGAUUUGAAGUUAGAAAUCGGUAAACUAGCGAAUAGGCGCGGGCGGCGGGCGGCGGCCGAGCAGGCGGUGGCGUCCGGCGAGGGGCCAGACGGGAGGCGUGCCAGGCGGUGCCCCGGUGGUCCAGUGCAUGCCCGGAGCAGGUGGCGACCUCCGGUGAGCUGCAAGCUGGCGAGCGCCGAGCGGCAAGGUGCCGUGGCGGCGUCCAGUGAGCCGGCGAUGGGCCAGACAGAAGGCAGGCCAGGCGGAGGCGGUGGUCCAGCACUCCAGCGCCUGCGCCGCCACGCCGCCGGGAAGGUGGCGAGCCGCUCGCUGGCGAGGUGCCGCGAGGGCGCAAGGCGCCGAGGCAGGCAGGCAGCAGGUCAGCGGCACAGUGGCCGGCAAGGCAGCAACGAGUCAACGACGCAGUCGCAGCCUACUGUGACUGUGAUUGAAGAUUUGAAGCGCGGGCGGCGGGCGGCGGCCGAGCAGGCGGUGGCGUCCGGCGAGGGGCCAGACGGGAGGCGUGCCAGGCGGUGCCCCGGUGGUCCAGUGCAUGCCCGGAGCAGGUGGCGACCUCCGGUGAGCUGCAAGCUGGCGAGCGCCGAGCGGCAAGGUGCCGUGGCGGCGUCCAGUGAGCCGGCGAUGGGCCAGACAGAAGGCAGGCCAGGCGGAGGCGGUGGUCCAGCACUCCAGCGCCUGCGCCGCCACGCCGCCGGGAAGGUGGCGAGCCGCUCGCUGGCGAGGUGCCGCGAGGGCGCAAGGCGCCGAGGCAGGCAGGCAGCAGGUCAGCGGCACAGUGGCCGGCAAGGCAGCAACGAGUCAACGACGCAGUCGCAGCCUACUGUGACUGUGAUUGAAGAUUUGAAGUUAGAAAUCGGUAAACUAGUAACCUCUAAUACUAAUAGAUAGUCUAAAAUUG
rnacentral:lncRNA from 1 species